GUACUGAUGAAGAGUCCCAAACUAGGACGAAACGGCUGUCCAGAAC
rfam:Trichobilharzia regenti genome assembly, scaffold: TRE_scaffold0000434